GUUUUAUUAGACAGGCGAGGACAAGGUAAAUAAUUGUAUUAAUAGAUUUAUUAUUUCAACUUAAAAUUCUAAGAUACAAGAUAUUUGAAAUCUGACAAAACAAUUGACUCAAAGAAGACGGAUUAAGAGAAUCAAAUAGAAAGAAAUUGAGUAUAUAGCAUAUAAUUACGGGUGACAAUUAGACAAGUUGGAUUAAAUUUGGGCGAGUCAAAAUGGAUCAAGACCCAACCCAAAUUUAUUUAGGCCAAAACGGGUCAUGACCCAACCAAUAACAUAAAUGAAUUAAGCCGAAUUGAUUUUGAUUUUGCCACCCUUACCUAUAUUCCCUUUUUUUUCAUCUUUCCUUAGUCUCCAUGUUCUUAAUCCUUUCCUGUACCUUUUAAAUCUUGUAAUAUAAAACACCCUCUGUAAAAUAGUUCUAUUUUUUUUUUAUUGAUUAAUCUUAUGUCAAAAAGGCAAUGAAAGAAGUUCUCCACUUUUUCAUGAUCUUGCUAUAUUUUACUACGUUUCAUUAAUAAAUUUUAAGAAAAAAUCAGUUGAAGCAUAUUAUUCUUACGUUUCAAUUCAUCUUGUAAAAGAGUUAAGACUUCAUAACACAAAGAAUCAUCUUGUAAAAGAGUUAAGACUUCAUAACACAAAGAAUCCUGUAUAUCAAAGGGAUAAAGGAUCUAACUUUCUGCUACGAUUAACAACAAC
rnacentral:lncRNA from 1 species